GGUCCCGUAGCUCAGCUGGAUAGAGCAUCACAUUCCUAAUGUGGGGGUCACAAGUUCGAAUCUUGUCGGGAUCACCA
rnacentral:tRNA from 1 species